UGAUUGUGCCUCUGCAGUCCAGCCUGGGCGACAGAGAAAGACCCUGUCUCUUAAAAAAAAAAAAAUCUUAGAUAAGAGGAUGCUGUGCCUCCCUGGGGGUCUUCAGUCACCCAUAGUCCUGGCAAGAGAGGAGGGCCAGGAGAGAGCUUCACCCACCUGCUGUCCUGCCCAUGUGACAUCCGCAGGUGCUGCCAUGGCCACGACUGAUGUUACACUCGAGCUGAGGAGGCCGGCUGCAGCCCCAAGACAGAGCGCUACUCCUGGCAGUGCGUCAAUCAGAGCGUCCUGUGCGGUUACCAUGCCAGCAAUGAUUCCUUUUGAGUUUCUGACAGAAGAUAGUGGUUUUCAUCCAAAUAAGUCAACUACUCUACCCCAUCCCUAAGCCACUUGUAUGGAAAGAAAAAGAGGAAGAAGCCAGUACUGUGACUGCGUAAGCUUCCCCCAGCAUCACCGGCUAUGAGAUGUGUGGCAGCUGAGACCCGGGAACUGCUCAAGGGCACCAGGCCCCAUCUGUCUGCACUCACUCACCUUCCUCAGGUACUCGCAUGGGCAUGUCACUGACUUUACAUGCUGCUGCAGCUCCUUGGUGAGCUGGCCCUGGUCAUGGGACAGGAACUGUGGGGUCAGGACAAUAGAGAGCUUCACCAUUUGCAGAAUGAGAACAGGGGCUCAUGAUGAGUGCCAACCUAU